AUAUAUGUAUAUGUGGAAAAGUAGAAAAGGAAAAUAAGAAAGUUUCCAACAAUGCAGAAAGUUUUACAAAAACCUCUGUAUUUCAGGUGCAAAGGUCCAUUCUCAGAAGGA